rnacentral:rRNA from 1 species
UACGUAGGUGGCAAGCGUUGUCCGGAAUUACUGGGUGUAAAGCGCGUGUAGGCGGCAGACCAAGUCGGCGGUGAAAGCGCCCGGCUCAACUGGGCGAGGUCCGUGGAAACUGGUCAUCUGGAGGACGGUAGAGGCGAGUGGAAUUCCCGGUGUAGUGGUGAAAUGCGUAGAGAUCGGGAGGAACACCCAUGGCGAAGGCAGCAAGCUGGGCGACACCUGACGCUGAGGCGCGAAAGCGUGGGUAGCAAACAGG